rfam:Gossypium hirsutum cultivar TM-1 chromosome 20, whole genome shotgun sequence
UGUUAAAAUUUUUAUCCAUUUCUAUUAUUAAAAAUUGGCAUGACCGAUAGAAUAACCAAAGCGUGCUACGUGUACCUUAUGUUAACAUAUAAGGGUCAGUUUUUAAUAGUAAAAAUAGAUGAAUUUUUUAAUA